UUGAGAGGAGCCCGCCAGCGGCCACUGCGCAGGCGCUGGGCAGCUCGCCGGACUCCCGCAGCGCUUCUCCAAAAGUUCCAGUCCAGCGGGUGGACCACCGUGCAGCGCAGCUGCACACAACAGAGAAGGCAAAAGAAAACUCCCGGGGGGCUCCGUUGGCUUCUAUGGGAGUGACAAAGAUGCUUUCCCUCUAGAAGCCCGGAAGCUUUCUCCUUUGCAAUCCAAUGAGGGUGAAGUGAACGCCGCUCUUCCUUGUGAAGCGCCCUGCCAGGAAGAGCCAGUUGUGUGUGGACCCGCGGUACCUGGCCGUCCCCUUCCAGGCUGGAUUCCGCAGAGGUUUGCCUUUUGUGGACAUUUCCUAAAAAUGGAAUCAUGUAAUAUGGAGUCUUUUGUGACUGGUCCCUUAUACUGAUACUGGAUAUUCAUGUUAUUUCCAGGUUUGGGGCUAUUACAAAUAAUAUUACUGGGAACAUUAUUAUACAUAUCUGUAUGUUGUUUGUAUCUAUGGAUAGAUUUGUAUCACAUAGAUACAUAUUUCUAUGAGAUAUAUACCAAAGAGUGGAAUAGCCCAGAGAUAGGUUAUGCUUAUGGUUAGUUAUAGUUGAUAGUACCAAACUGUUUUUUAAAUUUAUACCCCCACCAGCGCUGUAUAAUGAGUUUUUAUUGCUCCACACCCUCACCAACAUUUGGUGGUUGUGUGAUUUCAAUUUAUACUUCUCUGAUGACUAAUGAAAAAGAACAUCUUUUCAUGUGAUUAUUAGUCAUUUGAAUAUCCUCUUUUAGUAAACCACCUAUUGAGUCUUUUUUUCUGUUGUUUUUUUUUGUCUUUUUCUGCUUGACUUAUUUAUUCUAAUGUGAGUCCAUUUUCAUUUAUAAGCACUGCUAAAAAAAAAAACACCUUUCCCUAGCCUGUGGCUUGCAUUUUAAUUAUCUUACUGUUAAAUUUUAAUGAAUGUAACUUUGUUAUUUUUAUUAAAGUCUGAUUUGUCAAACUUC